UCCGUGGUCUAGAGGUAACGUACUUGCCUUGAAACUUAGGGGUCCCGGGUUCGAUUCCCGGUUGAGGAA
rnacentral:tRNA from 1 species